rnacentral:rRNA from 1 species
GACGAACGCUGGCGGCGUGCUUAACACAUGCAAGUCGAACGGAAAGGCCCUGCUUUUGUGGGGUGCUCGAGUGGCGAACGGGUGAGUAACACGUGAGUAACCUGCCCUUGACUUUGGGAUAACUUCAGGAAACUGGGGCUAAUACCGGAUAGGAGCUCCUGCUGCAUGGUGGGGGUUGGAAAGUUUCGGCGGUUGGGGAUGGACUCGCGGCUUAUCAGCUUGUUGGUGGGGUAGUGGCUUACCAAGGCUUUGACGGGUAGCCGGCCUGAGAGGGUGACCGGCCACAUUGGGACUGCGAUACGGCCCAGCAUCCUACGGGAGGCAGCAGUGGGGAAUAUUACACAACGAGCGGAAGCCUGAUGAAGCAACGCCGCGUGCGGGAUGACGGCGUUCGGGUUGUAAACAGCCUUCGCCUGUGACGAAGAGUGAGUGACGGUAAUGGGUAAAGAAGCACCGGCUAACUACGUG